GCCUCUGUCCGGGGGUCAGGCUACACCACCUGUUGUGGCAAGCGCUUCUGAGGAACUACAUUUUAAAUGUUACUUCUAAUUUGUAAGUGUACAGUAUAGUGAUUCAACACUUCCAUACAUCACCCACUGCUCAUCCUGACAACUGCAGUCCUUAAUCCGCAUCUCCUGUUUCACCCAUCCCCCGGCCCAUUUCCCCUCUGACCAGAUCCUGUACUGCAGGGAAAAUGCUAUAAAAGGACAUUAUUGGCUCAACUGACAAGAUUGGAAUAUAUAUGAAACUUAGAUACAGGAGAAUCAAAACCGGAAGUUCAUCCCUGGCCCUCUUGCUUUCUGGCCUUUGGCAAGCAGCAAUUUCUCAGUCAACGUGAACUACUCAGUCACCCUGUAGUCCAGAGUAAAUCCACUCCAACCAGGAGAUGCUUGCCCAGGGGACCAGCAGCAGCAGCAGUGGCAACAGCAUUCUGAUAAAAGCCAUUCGGGAGGCCAAAGAAAAUAAAGGAAGAGGAGGUUCUCAACCCUUGUCUGGGAGUACAAAUGAAAGGGAGACUUCUCUGGUUUUCCCUCAUUCACCCCAGGGACCAUCCAUAAGCUCCUGGGCAGGCAGCCGAGUACUGAAGGUACAACUCAGUCCAGCCCUUGUGCCCAUAGCACAAGCUCUGGGGAAGUGCACAGAGUUCACGAGAGGGCAGGAACAGUUGAGUUUGGAGAGCAUGGACUAGAUUUUAGCCAGAAGACAAACCUAUUCAGACACAAGGCAGUCAUGCGUGUGCAGGGAGUGUGGAUGAGGUUUCAGCAGGAAGUCACAUCUCAUCAGACACGAGAGGACACACACAGAGGAAAAGCCUUGUGUGUAAGGGAGUGUGAAUGAACUUUUAGCUCGCAGUCACACCUCCUCUCACACCAGAGGACACACACAAGGGAGAAACCCUUUGUGUGCGCAGUAUGUGGGCAAGGCAUUAGUGAAAAGUAAGACCUUGUUAAGCAUCAGAAGAUUUACACAGGAGAUAAGCCUUGUGUGUGCAGGAACUGUGGAACUGUGGCCAAAGCUUUAGAGUGAAAUCACAUCUCAUCCUACACCAGAGGAUACAUUCAGGGGACAAGUCUUUUGUCUGCAGGGAGUGUGGUUGGGGCUUUAGUGAUAGAUGAACCCUCAUCACCCAUCAGAAGACACAUUCUGGAGAGAAGCCUAAAGUGUGGGGGGAGUGUGGGCAAGCUUUUAGCCACAAGACAAUCCCCACCAGAGAACAAUCACAGGAGAGAGGCUUUACAAGUGCAUGGCGUGUGGCCGAGACUUUAGCCUCAAGUCUACUCUCAGCACAUAUCAGAGGACACACUCAGCGGAAAAGCCUUAUGUGUGUAGGGGAUGUGGGUGAGGCUUUAGCUAUAGGUCAGCCCUCAUGAGGCACCAGAGGACACACUCAGGAAAAAGCCCUGUGUGUGCAAGGACCAAGGGUGUGUGUUUAGGAACAAGUCAACCAUCAGACACACCAGAGGACACACUCAGGGGAGAAGCCUUGAUUGUAAGGUUAUGUGGACAAGGCUUUAGCUGGACAUCACUCCUUGUCACAGAGAAGAGGACACGCUCAGGGAGAAGCCUGUGUACAGGGAGUGCAAAGUGUUAGCUAGAGGUGACCUUGUAAGAAACACUGAGAGUCACAUCUGUCCUCCAUAAACCCCAUUAGAGCUGAGAGGGCUUCAGGGACAGUCUUCUAACCCUUGACCCCUCUGUGAGUGUGGAGGUGGCAGAGGUCUAGCUUCUGAGAACAGAGGUACCAAGUGAUGCUCCCUUUAGUGGUCUUUGCACCAGUCGACUAAAUCUUACUUCCUUCUGCAAGUCCAUUAAUUUUCAUUGACUUCUAUGACACUCUCCUGUUUUAUUUAUUUUUUUUUUCUAUGUCCCUAACCUUUGCUGCAUCCUCUUCUGCACCCACUUUUAGUGAUUGCUCGGGGUUGAGUCUCUGGCCCGUAAUCUGCGGGACACCUUAGCCAUGUCUUCCUGCUACCCCUCCAAUCCCAAACCCAGGUCCAUUUAGCCACAACCCAAAAGGUCUAAGUCUCAGGACUUAGACUUCAUAAUCAUGCUGCUUUGGCCCUCCCCUGGCAGGUGUAAGAUUUCUUGCAAUGUCCACCAUCAGCCUGACAAUACCAGGUUUCGGGGCUUUCUCAU